rnacentral:piRNA from 1 species
UGUGAUGGGCCUACCAAAGUGCUU